rnacentral:rRNA from 2 species
GCUUAACACAUGCAAGUCGAGGGGCAGCAUGGUCUUAGCUUGCUAAGGCCGAUGGCGACCGGCGCACGGGUGAGUAACACGUAUCCAACCUGCCGUCUACUCUUGGACAGCCUUCUGAAAGGAAGAUUAAUACAAGAUGGCAUCAUGAGUCCGCAUGUUCACAUGAUUAAAGGUAUUCCGGUAGACGAUGGGGAUGCGUUCCAUUAGAUAGUAGGCGGGGUAACGGCCCACCUAGUCUUCGAUGGAUAGGGGUUCUGAGAGGAAGGUCCCCCACAUUGGAACUGAGACACGGUCCAAACUCCUACGGGAGGCAGCAGUGAGGAAUAUUGGUCAAUGGGCGAGAGCCUGAACCAGCCAAGUAGCGUGAAGGAUGACUGCCCUAUGGGUUGUAAACUUCUUUUAUAAAGGAAUAAAGUCGGGUAUGGAUACCCGUUUGCAUGUACUUUAUGAAUAAGGAUCGGCUAACUCCGUGCCAGCAGCCGCGGUAAUACGGAGGAUCCGAGCGUUAUCCGGAUUUAUUGGGUUUAAAGGGAGCGUAGAUGGAUGUUUAAGUCAGUUGUGAAAGUUUGCGGCUCAACCGUAAAAUUGCAGUUGAUACUGGAUAUCUUGAGUGCAGUUGAGGCAGGCGGAAUUCGUGGUGUAGCGGUGAAAUGCUUAGAUAUCACGAAGAACUCCGAUUGCGAAGGCAGCCUGCUAAGCUGCAACUGACAUUGAGGCUCGAAAGUGUGGGUAUCAAACAGGAUUAGAUACCCUGGUAGUCCACACGGUAAACGAUGAAUACUCGCUGUUUGCGAUAUACUGCAAGCGGCCAAGCGAAAGCGUUAAGUAUUCCACCUGGGGAGUACGCCGGCAACGGUGAAACUCAAAGGAAUUGACGGGGGCCCGCACAAGCGGAGGAACAUGUGGUUUAAUUCGAUGAUACGCGAGGAACCUUACCCGGGCUUAAAUUGCAGAUGAAUUACGGUGAAAGCCGUAAGCCGCAAGGCAUCUGUGAAGGUGCUGCAUGGUUGUCGUCAGCUCGUGCCGUGAGGUGUCGGCUUAAGUGCCAUAACGAGCGCAACCCUUGUUGUCAGUUACUAACAGGUUCCGCUGAGGACUCUGACAAGACUGCCAUCGUAAGAUGUGAGGAAGGUGGGGAUGACGUCAAAUCAGCACGGCCCUUACGUCCGGGGCUACACACGUGUUACAAUGGGGGGUACAGAGGGCCGCUACCACGCGAGUGGAUGCCAAUCCCCAAAACCUCUCUCAGUUCGGACUGGAGUCUGCAACCCGACUCCACGAAGCUGGAUUCGCUAGUAAUCGCGCAUCAGCCACGGCGCGGUGAAUACGUUCCCGGGCCUUGUACACACCGCCCGUCAAGCCAUGGGAGCCGGGGGUACCUGAAGUGCGUAACCGCGAGGAGCGCCCUAGGGUAAAACUGGUGACUGGGGCUAAGUCAUAACA